UCCUCAGUAUGCUGUUUCAGUCCUGAGUUAGGUCUGUGGGGCCGGGAGCUUCUCUGUCAGAUUCUGUGCAAAUAUCCUGACUUAACAACAGGCUCCGUGGCAAAAGCCAAUGCCUCAUAGUGAAAGAGGCCCACUCAAAUGAAAUGCCAACCUGUCCUUGGAGGCUCUGACCAGCAGAUGAUGGGAUUAGCAGUUUGUCCUGUGCUAUAAGUAGGCUGCCCUGCAUCUUGCCCGGCUCAGGGUGCCCAGGGAUGACCUGGCACUGCAGGGGUCUGC